rnacentral:tRNA from 1 species
GGCAGUUAUGAGGACUGGGAGCCUCGCUUGUUUCAUAAGCAAGAUUGUGGUUGGUUCGAUUCCAGCAACUGCUA